CCUUCUUCCCUAGGUCACGUGACCCGUCCCCGUCUGCGCGCCUGCUGCUUCAUUGCGUGCCGUAUACGCAUACUUCCGCUUAUGUUCUGCUCGGUAGUCACUGAACCGCAAACAGUCUCUAUCGGGUUCUGGAACAGCGCAGGGACGUGCCUUUUCACCUAUUCGAGCUCCAAGUUGUGCUUGGAGAGAAAGAUUUUAUGGACUGACUCUAUCGGAGACCGUCCCAAUAUCGUACAGGAACUGGUCAUUCAGUCGUUGGUCAAAGAAAUGAGCAAGCCGGAGAACAACGUCAACGCUCUGUCCUGGCGGAGGCUACACCUCAGCAGGGCUAAGCUCAAGGCCUCCAGCAGAACUUCGGCUCUUCUCUCCGGGUUCGCAAUGGUGGCCCUGGUGGAGAUCCAGCUGAGCAAGGGCAUUUCGUCGCAGCUGCUGGUCGCCUUCAGUGUGUGCACGACACUGCUCGUCUCAGUGCACAUGCUGGCGCUCAUGAUAUCGACAUGCAUCCUGCCAAACUUGGAGGCCGUGGCCAGCGUGCACGGCAUUGCUGCUGUCUCUGAGUCACCCCACGAGAAGAUGCACCUCUACAUCGAGACGGCCUGGGCGUUUUCCACCGUCUUUGGCAUCUUGCUCUUCAUGGCAGAGAUUGCCAUUCUCUCCUGGGUGGUCUUUCACGAAUACAGAGAUGCCGCCCUUGCCGCUACCAUCAUCCUCAUACCCGUUGCCAUCGUGUUUGUCGUCUUUGCCGUGCACUUCUACAGACAGCUUGUGACGCACAAGUUUGAGCAGUCAGUGAUGAGUGUCAAAGAGCUCGAGAACAUGGUUAGCCAACUUCAAGACGGUGGCGGGGGCAGCACUGACAAUGCGGCAUCACUUCUCAACGUCUGAGUUCGGCGCUACCCAGUGGACGGUAUUUGCCUGUUUUCCUGUUGGUGGGUGCGGAAGUGGCACUAUGCAGUGAAUCUCAAGAAUUGGUAGCAAUGUGUAACUUAAUGCCACCAAAAGUUGGUGUGUGGUGUAAGAUAACGAAGAGAACCGUCGGCGCUAGAAGCAAGCGUCUCCUCGCAAGAACGUCCUUCUAAAUUGCAUAUUUUGCUGACAGGGUAUGAUGCUACCAGCAUUGUGAACAGUAUCAGACUGAUCGGGCAAGCCCUACACGCCUGGAACGCUAAACAGCAGGAGUAAUGGGCAAGCUGUGCCCGUCCCAAAGCAGUCGUAACGAAGACAUCCAAGUGGCUAGGCAUUCUUAGCUUGGCUGAGACUACAUCUUUUUCUAAAACUUGUGCAGGAUUACCCUUUGUUCACUGCCUAGAGUGUGUAAAGAACAAAAUUAUACACUAAACUUUGCUCAGGUGCCUUUAAUGCCAAAGUUGUUCUUCUACUGUAACAAUUUCAACACUGCUGUAUAUUAGAUUUCACUUCAGCUGCCACUUAAGCUCUUCAGAGGGCUUGCCAGCACUUGCACAGC
rnacentral:misc_RNA from 1 species